CAGCUAUUACGCAGAGAGGCUGUCUCAAGCUGCCAAAGACCAAUCGGCCAGCGGACUGGAGUGGACGCUCGCCAGUCUGGUUGACAAGACCCGUCAGCUGGUGGCAGUGUGCGGCUGCAAGCUGCUAGCUUCAGCUAUUUAGGCCCUGAACGCAGUACGAGUACAUCGCAACCAAAGCUUCUCCUUCCGCUGAGUCUGAACAAGUAGUGCUCCGCAAUGACAAGGAUACGCUGAGAGCAAAGUACAGCGGUCACAACAGCCAGUCGUCACUGCACGUGGACUGGCACGAAGAGGAGUGGGCCACGCCCACGGACUACAGCGCCAUGAUGAGCAACAAAGCCAAGAAGUCUAUUGACUUCCUUCUGAUGCAGGACACCGCCCCGACGAUAGCCACGGACGUGUCACUGCAGUACCGCCUCGACAUCGUCUUCUGCCAAACGGUCACCUACACAUAUUUUAAUUAUUGUAUGUCUGAGCUGAUGCGUUUAUCCUGGAGUGACUCAGAGUGAAGGAGAAGGCCAAGAAGAAGUGUAAAUAUCAUAGAAGCAAGGAGUUCAGAGCUCUACGACUUAGUGUCUUUAUGGUAUUUAUGUGUGUAAUGGAGACCAGGGGUUCCAUUACCCUUACUUGUAUUUUUAUUAAUUGACUGACUGAUUUGUAUUUAAAAACCGUAAUGAAGAAAAACACACACUGGUUGAUUGUGAUUCUUUAUUAGGCUUUUUGGGUUGUUAUUUAAGUGACUCGUUAAAGGUGAAGAGACAGGGGGACUGGCCAUCCUACCUGUGUCAGGAAAAGAACCUGUGUUAGAGCUGUUCACAUUUAAUCAUUUGUCUGUAACCUAAAUUAGUUGUAUAUGUAAAAAGAGAAGUGUUAACAGUACUCACUUUGUAAAGAGUAAAAGCAGCUCAAUCACCUGCUUAUGAGCUCCUGGAGAAAACCAAUGUGCCAGGCUAGGG